UAAGAUAUAACUGGGUUGGUAGAGUGCUUGCUUAACACACAAGAAGCCCUGGGUUUUGUUCUCAGCAUCUUAU
rnacentral:tRNA from 1 species